rnacentral:rRNA from 1 species
AGAGUUUGAUCAUGGCUCAGAACGAACGCUGGCGGCAGGCUUAACACAUGCAAGUCGAGCGAUCCUUUCGGGGAUAGCGGCGGACGGGUGAGUAACGCGUGGGAACGUGCCCCUUUCUUCGGAAUAGCCUCGGGAAACUGGGAGUAAUGCCGAAUACGCCGGGCCAUGGCGACAUGGUUUGGGAAAGAUUUAUCGGAGAGGGAUCGGCCCGCGUUGGAUUAGGUAGUUGGUGGGGUAAUGGCCUACCAAGCCGACGAUCCAUAGCUGGUUUGAGAGGAUGAUCAGCCACACUGGGACUGAGACACGGCCCAGACUCCUACGGGAGGCAGCAGUGGGGAAUCUUGGACAAUGGGGGCAACCCUGAUCCAGCCAUGCCGCGUGAUCGAUGAAGGCCUUAGGGUUGUAAAGAUCUUUCAGCUGGGAAGAUAAUGACGGUACCAGCAGAAGAAGCCCCGGCUAACUCCGUGCCAGCCGCCGCGGUAA